GGAUUAGAUACCCUGGUAGUCCACGCCAUAAACGUUGGGCACUUGGUGUUUCGGGCCUCGAGCCUGGAGUGCCGGCGCUAACGCAUUAAGUGCCCCGCCUGGGGAGUACGACCGCAAGGUUGAAACUCAAAGGAAUUGACGGGGGCCCGCACAAGCGGUGGAGCAUGUGGUUUAAUUCGAUGCAACGCGAAGAACCUUACCUAGGUUUGAACUUCUAGGGACGCACUCUAGAAAUAGAGUUUUCACUUCGGUGACCCUAGGAGAGGUGCUGCAUGGCUGUCGUCAGCUCGUGCUG
rnacentral:rRNA from 1 species